AGUGAACGCUGGCGGUAGGCCUAACACAUGCAAGUCGAACGGCAGCACAGUAAGAGCUUGCUCUUACGGGUGGCGAGUGGCGGACGGGUGAGGAAUACAUCGGAAUCUACUUUUUCGUGGGGGAUAACGUAGGGAAACUUACGCUAAUACCGCAUACGACCUACGGGUGAAAGCAGGGGAUCUUCGGACCUUGCGCGAUUGAAUGAGCCGAUGUCGGAUUAGCUAGUUGGCGGGGUAAAGGCCCACCAAGGCGACGAUCCGUAGCUGGUCUGAGAGGAUGAUCAGCCUCACUGGAAGUGAGACACGGUCCAGACUCCUACGGGAGGCAGCAGUGGGGAAUAUUGGACAAUGGGCGCAAGCCUGAUCCAGCCAUACCGCGUGGGUGAAGAAGGCCUUCGGGUUGUAAAGCCCUUUUGUUGGGAAAGAAAAGCAGCAGGUUAAUACCCCGCUGUUCUGACGGUACCCAAAGAAUAAGCACCGGCUAACUUCGUG
rnacentral:rRNA from 1 species